UCUCCUAGGGGCUUACCUCUGGUUGUAGCAGAAUCUAAUGAGGGUUCCGUUUCUCUUCUGUCCACUGUCCGAGGAGGCACACUACAUAUUGUAGUGUGCCUUAAUUGGGUUCAGCCACCAUAAAUCCUGACAAUUGGCCGUUAGAGGGGAGAGGAGGUAAAGCCGAGCUUUGACAUGAUUUGCCUUGGCAAGGCAUCAGAUAGGGCCUAAGCCAUCAAACAACAAGGCCACAAAUGGUGGGACCUGGAGAUACCCUUUGUCUAGCUAGUCGAGCAAGGGUACACCAUUGAAUGUUGAUGUGGUUACUAUCUUAGUAAAGCAAGGCUAUUCAAUGUUAUGCAAUUACAUAAAAUCUCUCCUCCCCUCUUUAGGCAUAAAUUGUCAAGGAGGUGGCAUUCCCCUUUCACACUAGAGAAUUACCUCUAGUGGAGAUAAGAGACAAACAGACAUAUAACCAAAAAAAAAAAACAUCCUGGCCUUGGCCUGGAGAGACCAAGGGCUUACCUCUGGUUGUAGCAGAAUCUAAUGAGGGUUCCGUUUCUCUUCUGUCCACUGUCCGAGGAGGCACACUACAUAUUGUAGUGUGCCUUAAUUGGGUUCAGCCACCAUAAAUCCUGACAAUUGGCCGUUAGAGGGGAGAGGAGGUAAAGCCGAGCUUUGACAUGAUUUGCCUUGGCAAGGCAUCAGAUAGGGCCUAAGCCAUCAAACAACAAGGCCACAAAUGGUGGGACCUGGAGAUACCCUUUGUCUAGCUAGUCGAGCAAGGGUACACCAUUGAAUGUUGAUGUGGUUACUAUCUUAGUAAAGCAAGGCUAUUCAAUGUUAUGCAAUUACAUAAAAUCUCUCCUCCCCUCUUUAGGCAUAAAUUGUCAAGGAGGUGGCAUUCCCCAAGGUGUUUCCAAAGGAGUUAAUUAAAGAGGGAUAUGGAUUGGACAUCUGAGCCGUCGGGACAGUCAUUCAUAUCUCUGUUUUUUUUGUUUUUUUUUUUUUUUUAACUUAUUGUGAGCAACCAAAGUGCUUGUGAAUAAUCUUCUGACUAUAUAUAUUAAUAAAAUAAUAUACAUGACAUUGCUAUUUGCUAAUGAUAACAUAACGGUAGUCACUAGAUAAAUGAAA